rnacentral:rRNA from 1 species
AUUGAACGCUGGCGGCAGGCCUAACACAUGCAAGUCGAACGGUAACAGGAAGAAGCUUGCUUCUUUGCUGACGAGUGGCGGACGGGUGAGUAAUGUCUGGGAAACUGCCUGAUGGAGGGGGAUAACUACUGGAAACGGUAGCUACUACCGCAUAACGUCGCAAGACCAAAGAGGGGGACCUUCUGGCCUCUUUUCAUCGUAUGUGCCCAGAUGGGAUUAGCUAGUAGGUGGGGUAACGGCUCACCUAGGCGACGAUCCCUAGCUGGUCUGUGAGGAUGACCAGCGACACUGGAAGUGAGACAGGGUCCAGACGCCUACGGGAGGCAGCAGUGGGGAAUAUUACACAAUGGGCGCAAGCCUGAUGCAGCCAUGCCGAGUGUAUGAAGAAGGCCUACGGGUUGUAAAGUACUUUCAGCGGGGAGGAAGGGAGUAAAGUUAAUACCUUGGCUCAUUGACGUUACCCGCAGAAGAAGCACCGGCUAACUCCGUG